GUCGUGAGAUGUUGGGUUAAGUCCCGCAACGAGCGCAACCCCUACCGCCAGUUGCAUCAUUCAGUUGGGCACUCUGGUGGAACUGCCGGUGACAAGCCGGAAGAAAGGCCGGGGAUAACGUCAAGUCCUUCAUGGCCCUUUAUUGGGUUUGCUAAUACUCAGUGUUAUCAAUUGUCCGGUUAUCAUAUGGGUUUCUGUAUGUCGCAAGAUGGGAGCCAAUCCCCAAAAGCC
rnacentral:rRNA from 1 species